rnacentral:tRNA from 1 species
GCCUUCGUGGUGUAGUGGUCAGCACGCUCGACGCGUAACCGAGAGGAGCGUGUUUCGAAUCCCGGCGAAGGCG